AAUGAGGGAAGGCCGGGUUCGGGGCCCCCGGGAGCCUUUGUGUGGGGCCCUCACUCACCCAUCUUUCCUCUUGGCUUUGUACACAUGCCCGUAGGUGCCUCUGCCAACUUUGCAGCCCUCGUACUCAAACAGGUCCUCCACUCGCUCCCUCUCCCCUGUCAGCUUCACCUUGAAGUCAUAGUCCAUGUCGAGCGGCCGGUGUGGGAGGCGCAGAGGCCGGGGGAAGGUGCAGCAUGUACAGCCCGGCCCGUGGACAGAAGCUGCACGAUCCGCAGCUUCACAACAGCCGGUCUCAGACACUCCGAGACACCGUAAAGCGCCGCCGCCGCCGCAAGGAUGCCGUAAAGGAAGACCGUCCCCGCCCCUUCUCCUGCUGCAGGCCACGCCCCCUCCGCUCAGACAACAGAGCCAAGCAGAGCGUGGCUGCCACCGGGGUGACCUGGGCUGACCCCUGACCCUGGGAGAGGGAAUCUAACAGGGGAGGGGGGCCUGAAUGUCUUCAACCCCCAAACUGAGGCUCUCAGAGUGCACUGAGCACAGUCUAGGCCACAGCAGCUAGAAUGGCCUUGGAUGGCUGGGCAGUAUGGGAGUGGUAGUCCUAAUCAGGUAGAAGGAGCUAUGGCAAUGCUUAGUGUGACACAGCUGCCAUUAGGAAGCCAGUGAUCAGAG